rnacentral:rRNA from 1 species
UACGUAGGGUGCAAGCGUUGUCCGGAAUUAUUGGGCGUAAAGGGCUCGUAGGCGGUCCGUCACGUCGGGAGUGAAAACUUGGGGCUUAACCCCAAGCCUGCUUCCGAUACGGGCGGACUAGAGGUAGGCAGGGGAGAACGGAAUUCCUGGUGUAGCGGUGAAAUGCGCAGAUAUCAGGAGGAACACCGGUGGCGAAGGCGGUUCUCUGGGCCUUACCUGACGCUGAGGAGCGAAAGCGCGGGGAGCAAACAGG